rnacentral:lncRNA from 1 species
UUUCUACUUGUUCUUCGAUUUUACUGAUGACUUUUAAAGCUCCCCAUUGCUUUUUUUCAGCUAGAACAUCUGAUAGUGCUGUUUGAGCUGACACAUACAAGAUCCAUCUGCUGAGAUCUGUGCCUUAGCAGUGAAGGAUCAAAACUCUCAUGAAUCAGUCUGCCAAAGGGGAUCAGGUCUGCUUGGGAACUCAUCUCUUAAAUUUUCCUGAACACUUUUAUUUGUGAGUCAGUCCUGAUCUUACACAAUAUUGGGGUCUAUCAAAUUUAUCUCCUACAGUUCUGUUGUAUUUUGCUGUCUGCGUUGUGCACUGUAUAUGGGAUUUUGAUGGUCGAUAAAGUGAAGUUUAUCAUUAUAUAUAAUAAUCAGAAGGAUAUUAGUGUUAGAUUUAAAAAAAACGGAUUCCCGAUGACGAACAUCAGUACUCUGAUCAGACGCAACGACGGUCUUUGUAACCACUAAGGGGCACUGCUGCACAGGAAACUCCGUAAGUCUUAAUAUACAAGCAUGUAGUUCCUGCUGUGGGCCAACAGGAGGCGCAGCGAAAAUUUGAAUUUUGUUUUCUAUAUAUACUUAUUCAUUGACUGAUUGGUCAUCAUUUUGAAUCAUGAAGCUUCCUCUGCUGCUGCUCUGCUCUGUGCUGCUGCUCUCCAUCUCAGGUCUGUCUCUUUUUAAAGGUUUAUUUAUCACAUGUUUAAGCUACAGAGUCAAAACUCUUUACUGGCCAAAGUACCAACUUGAAGAGCUCCAAACUGAUUGAACCUCAAACUGACCACAGUUACUCUGCUGUCACUGUGAUGAUUAAUCUUGGAACAGAGCUCAGAUUAAAGGCCAGUGGAAAAAAGUUUUUUGGACUUUAGGAUUCAUUAAGGGAAUUAUUCAUUCAUGGACAUGUUGAUUUAUGAUGAAUAGAGUGUAAACACAGAUUAGUGUGUUUAUUUUUGUUUGCUUUAACAUGUUUUUUGUUUUUUUACAGACAGACUGUGACAUUAAUGUGUUAACUAUGAACUGUUUCUGACUAUGAUCUAAGUAUGCAUUACUGAACUCCAUUAAUCAGGACUGAAAUUCUAUCUUCAUAAGGGAAAAGGCUGUGAGAUGAAAUAGUUCCUCUUUCACAGGUUGUCAACCUCACUUCAGGUCCUUUUUACAGAGACAGAAAAGAUGCAGAGUGAUGAUCUGCUGGGUCACAUUUCUGAGCCAAACACUGUGACAUCUUCCCAUUGUUCUCUAAUGAAUGUGUUUGUGUGUCUUCAGAGAUACGGACUGAUAUUAGAUUGUUUUUUUAUCCAGUUUUCUCAUAGAGGAGGCUUUGGUUUUUUCUCUCAGUCCAUGUGACCGUUUUACAGCAAUAAAACAUAGCUUUAAGCUCCACCACAGUGAGCAAUAAUCAUUGGAGGACAGUAAAGAAUUGUAUUUAGUCUCCUCAAAGAAUAAUACUACAGCGAAUACUCAAAAAUGGACUUUGCCAUGACCGACAUUAACACACAACAGGUGGAUAUUUUUUCCCACCUUAUUGUUCACAGGUUGUAACCUUAGAACCUUGCUUCUCUUCACACACCUGACUGUUGUCUACUGUAUUAUUUAGAAAAUUAAAAAAAUUAGACCGGUCCCUUUUAAAGCUUUAAAUCUCUUCUCUGACAGAAAAGCCACACCUGCCACAUUCAUCUACAGAUUAUUACUGAGAUAGGAGUCACUCUCUGUUCAAUUGAAUCUCAUGUGUAAUGUGUGUACGUGCAUGCGUGCAUUUGUGUGUGUGUGUGUGUGUGUGUGUGUGUAGUCCUGUCUCAGGAAAAUGAGGGUCCAGCUGACGGACAAGGAGACUGUGCUGAACCCUGGGCGGUAAGACUCAGAAACACACACAUUAACACACUAAUACUCAUGCAGAGCUCAGAGGAGUGGUGUGUUUCCGUUGAUGUUAAGUUGUAAACAUGAUUUUGUCACUUCUAAACCUUCUGGGGUGAAUUUACCAAGAACAGAGUGGAGUUGCCUUUUGUACCAUGAGUUGUGCAUCAUUUGUGUAGGGGAAUCUCUUCAUACAUUUAGGUUAAGAAAUAUAGAGUAAUUAUCUUUUAGUAAGAAGCUACAAAUAAUCUAGGUUGGCCUGCUCCUGCAGCCCCACGACCAUGAGAUUGUAAGCAAGGCUGUCUUGCAGGAGCCCGAACUAUCUGUCUGUUGGAACAUUUAAUCUCUGCCAGGGUCAAGACGAACCUAAACAAAGUGUCGUGGGGCAGACAUGUCAUCAUGAGGGGCCUUCUGGAGAAUUCACAUACACACACACACACACACACACACACACACACACACACACACACACACACACACACACACACACACACACACACACAGGAUAAAAGGGAGUAGAAGAAAAGCUAGGGAGGCUUCCUUCGGUCUUGGUCGAGACUCUGUUUGUCAUCUGUACCGAUUUCUACAUCUGUACUAUUAAAGACGCCCCAGGCUGUUCUUCAGAUCUCAUCCUGUCUCCUGUGCACUGUUUUACUAAGUUUAUGCUGGACUUUCUACAACAUUUGCCUCUGCUCUGAGCUCCAUCUCCACCACUCAUGUACAUUUGUGUAGUAAUUAAAGGCUACAAAUUUAUUGAUGAGAUGUGUGUGUGUGUUUUUGCAUGUGUGUGUGCGUGUGUGUUUUAUCCAGGCCCGUUGUGAGAAAUACAACUUACCUAUCUGCCAUCGGGAUCUUAACCCUGUUUGUGGUGAUGAUGGGGAAACCUACAGUAACGAGUGUACACUCUGUUUUCGCAACUUGUAAGAUGUGCGCACACACACGCACGCACACACACACACACACACACACACACACACACACACACACACACACACACACACACACACACACACACACACACAAAUCUGCUCUUUCAAUCCUUUCUACCUGUUAAGGUAAUUCGUGGAGACAGUUGAUUACUGGACAGCUGACCAGUAACUUCUGCUCUGAGAUCAAUCUGAUGUUUUCAUCCAUUGUCUGUGCUCUUACUGAGCUCAGAUCAAUGGAUGGCUUAGUUUGAGCAGAGAGAGCAGUGUGUUGUUAGCAUGCAGAUGGAUCACGAUGGCUGCAUCAUUGAGUUUAAAGAGAUUUUAGGGUGAACAGGUUGUAUUUCUGUGAGUUGGGCUCUUUUAUGCUCUAGUGAGACUUUAUGAGAUUCUGGAUACAUGAUUUUGGCCAGUAUGCAGUAUGUCUCCAGAAAAUAAAAACAGGCUGAGAGAGGAACCCUGAGGAACACCAUACUGAGGUUUAUCAGAGAGACAGAAAAACUCCUGUCAGAGAUAUAUUUACAGUCUAUAGCUCCCACACUCUGAUUUCUCAAAGACUAGUUUUACAAUAUUCGUAUUAACUCCACACACACAUUUCAAAUGUAAAAACUAACUCCUUGAAUAUUCUGUUUUUUUUUGUUUUGUUUUUGUUUUUCUACAGGGAGAAUCACGCCACUGUGAAAAUUCUGAGAGAAGGGAAAUGCGAUUAACUGCUGUGUGCCACACACAUGCACACACAUACUGAAUAAAGUCUCAUACUGAUUCCCUCACACCCUCUGUCUGUGUGUUUAUUUCACUUGAACUCUGAAGAUAAAGCAGACUCUGAAACACUAAUCUCCAUGUUUGGAGCUCGACCACCUACCUCAUGUUUUUGCCUGUUCAGACCCAACAGUAAAUUAAUGAAUAACUCUGAGAAACAACAAAACACUGCGCUGUUAGGAUAAAAUAUUACCUUACACCCACAAACAUUUUACAUAACAAAACAACAAAUGUUAACAAAAUCUGUAUUGGAAAACACGCAAAGAAUAAAGAAAAUAUUAAAAUGUUUAAGAAAAACAAAAACUUUUUGAAAACAAAAAUAUUUUGGAAACAGAUAUUUUCAAAACACAAGGGAACUUUGAUAAAGGAAAAAAUAUUAUAAAACCAUUAAAAUUGUUUAUAAAAUGCAAAUUUUGGAACCAUGAAAAUAUUUUGAAAACACAAAUAAAUUUGUAAAUACAAAAAUAUUUUAAAAAACAAAAAUAGUUAUGAGAAAACACUAUAAUACUUAAGAGUAUAAAAAAAAUUUAUCUUACCUAAAAAUGUUCUGCUCUCAAAAUGUUUUGCUGCCAAAGGGGUAGGGGUAGGGCCAAACCACUUGAUUGUGAUGGGACAAAAUUGAGGUGCUGAAGUAUUUAACAUUUUUGUAUUUUCAAAAUAUAUUUGCUUUUUUAAUUAUUAUUCCUUUUUUUUGCUGAGAUCUGUGCCUUAGCAGUGAAGGAUCAAAACGCUCAUGAAUCAGUCUGCCAAAGGGGAUCAGGUCUGCUUGGGAACUCAUCUCUUAAAUUUUCCUGAACACUUUUAUUUGUGAGUCAGUCCUGAUCUUGCACAAUAUUGGGGUCUAUCAAAUUUAUCUCCUACAGUUCUGUUGUAUUUUGCUGUCUGCGUUGUGCACUGUGUAUGGGAUUUUGAUGGUCUAUUAAGUGAAGUUUAUCAUUAUAUAUAAUAAUCAGAAGGAUAUUAGUGUUAGAUUUAAAAAAAACGGAUUCCCGAUGACGAAUUUCA